UUGGAGGGCAAGUCUGGUGCCAGCAGCCGCGGUAAUUCCAGCUCCAAUAGCGUAUAUUAAAGUUGUUGCAGUUAAAAAGCUCGUAGUUGAAUUUCGGGGUUAGUAGGUUGGUCAUGCCUCUGGUAUGCACUGGUCUCACUGAUUCCUCCUUCCUGAUGAGCCGUAAUGCCAUUAAUUUGGUGUUGCGGGGAAUCUGGACUGUUACUUUGAAAAAAUUAGAGUGUUUAAAGCAGGCUAACGCCUGAAUACAUUAGCAUGGAAUAAUGAAAUAGGACGUUUGAUCCUAUUUUGUUGGUUUCUAGGAUUGACGUAAUGAUUAAUAGGGAUAGUUGGGGCAUUAGUAUUCAAUUGUCAGAGGUGAAAUUCUUGGAUUUAUUGAAGACUAACUACUGCGAAAGCACUUGCCAAGGAUGUUUUCAUUAAUCAAGAACGAAAGUUAGGGGAUCGAAGACGAUCAGAUACCGUCGUAGUCUUAACCAUAAACUAUGCCGACUAGGGAUCGGAUGAUGUUAAUUUUUAAUGACUCAUUC
rnacentral:rRNA from 1 species